rnacentral:rRNA from 1 species
CGGACGGGUGAGUAAUGUCUGGGAAACUGCCCGAUGGAGGGGGAUAACUACUGGAAACGGUAGCUAAUACCGCAUAGCGCCGCAAGACCAAAGAGGGGGACCUUCGGGCCUCUUGCCAUCGGAUGUGCCCAGAUGGGAUUAGCUAGUAGGUGGGGUAACGGCUCACCUAGGCGACGAUCCCUAGCUGGUCUGAGAGGAUGACCAGCCACACUGGAACUGAGACACGGUCCAG